rnacentral:rRNA from 1 species
UGGCCGUCCCGGCCACGGUGCACGUGCAACGAGUGACGCGAAAUCUGUAUCCAAAAUGACUCUCGGCAACGGAUAUCUCGGCUCUCGCAUCGAUGAAGAACGUAGCGAAAUGCGAUACUUGGUGUGAAUUGCAGAAUCCCGUGAACCAUCGAGUCUUUGAACGCAAGUUGCGCCCGAAGCCAUUAGGCCGAGGGCACGUCUGGCUGGGUGUCACGCAACGUCGCCCCAACCCCCACGCCCAUCGUAGGGCGUUGGGGGGCGGGGGCGGAUGAUGGCCUCCCGUGAGCCACGCCUCGCGGAUGGCCGAAAUAAGAGUUCGCGAUGUGGCGAGCACCACGGCGCACGGUAGUUGUUGAGUAACAACGUUUGAGCCCAGUCGUGCGUGCUCUGCCCUCGUGGCGAGCUCAGAGACCCUAUCGCGUCUCAAGACGCUUCUGAUGCGACCUCAGCUCAGGCGGGGCUACCCGCUGAGUUUAAGCAUAUCAAUAAGNGGUGAGGAGARGUAGUAACAAGGAUUCCCCUAGUAACGGCGAGCGAACACGGGAAGAGCCCACC